CACGUAGGGUGCGAGCGUUGUCCGGAAUUAUUGGGCGUAAAGAGCUCGUAGGCGGUGUGUCGCGUCGGCCGUGAAAACUUGCAGCUCAACUGUGGGCGUGCGGUCGAUACGGGCAUCACUGGAGUUCGGCAGGGGAGACUGGAAUUCCUGGUGUAGCGGUGAAAUGCGCAGAUAUCAGGAGGAACACCGGUGGCGAAGGCGGGUCUCUGGGCCGGUACUGACGCUGAGGAGCGAAAGCGUGGGGAGCAAACAGG
rnacentral:rRNA from 1 species